UAAAUUUUAAGUUAUAUAAACUAAGAACCUUCAAAGUUCUCAAAAAGACUAUUCUUAAAUUUAA
rnacentral:tRNA from 1 species